GGCCAGUGUAAUGGUUCGAACAUUGGACUAGAACUCUGGAAGACCAGGGUUCAAAUCCCAGUUUGGCCA